UUUUGCACACGUCCCUAAGUUUUACGCGGAUUCAGUAUAAAAGACGAGAAUGUUAGUAGGUAUGUAACAAAGUAUUAAAAAGAACAUAGAACUUUGCUUUAAAAGAAUAUUUGCAAAGAGUACAAUGGCAUGUCCAGGAUGCAAAAGCGGCGGAGUAGCUUUUAAAUGCGACAAAUGUGGGGCUUUACAAUGUAAGAACAAGUCCUGCAAACACCACCACGCCAAGGCCGCAAGCUCAUGUGGAUCCUGCGGAAAAUCGGGCGGACAAAAAUCCGUGUAGAUCUCUUGUGCACAUCACACAUAGACAGGCAGCCCAAGUCCAAUUUUUAGCAAUUAUAAAUUAUUUCUAACGCAAAAUAAAGAAUAUUCUUGAUGU